GAUGAACGCUAGCGGCAGGCUUAAUACAUGCAAGUCGAGGGGCAGCAUGAUUGUAGCAAUACAAUUGAUGGCGACCGGCAAACGGGUGCGGAACACGUACACAACCUUCCAACAAGUGGGGGAUAGCCCAGAGAGAUUUGGAUUAAUACCCCGUAACAUAGCGAUGUGGCAUCACAUUGCUAUUAUAGAUUUUUCGCUUGUUGAUGGGUGUGCGGCUGAUUAGAUAGUUGGCGGGGUAACGGCCCACCAAGUCUACGAUCAGUAGCUGAUGUGAGAGCAUGAUCAGCCACACGGGCACUGAGACACGGGCCCGACUCCUACGGGAGGCAGCAGUAAGGAAUAUUGGACAAUGGACGCAAGUCUAAUCCAGCCAUGCCGCGUGAAGGAUUAAGGUCCUCUGGAUUGUAAACUUCUUUUAUAAGGGACGAAAAAAGGCUUUUCUAAGUCGUCUGACGGUACCUUAUGAAUAAGCACCGGCUAACUCCGUGCCAGCCGCCGCAGUAAAAC
rnacentral:rRNA from 1 species